rnacentral:rRNA from 1 species
UACGUAGGGCGCAAGCGUUAUCCGGAAUUAUUGGGCGUAAAGAGCUCGUAGGCGGUCUGUUGCGUCGGGAGUGAAAACUUACAGCUUAACUGUGAGCGUGCUUCCGAUACGGGCAGACUUGAGGUAUUCAGGGGAGAACGGAAUUCCUGGUGUAGCGGUGAAAUGCGCAGAUAUCAGGAGGAACACCGGUGGCGAAGGCGGUUCUCUGGGAAUAUCCUGACGCUGAGGAGCGAAAGUGUGGGGAGCGAACAGG